rnacentral:rRNA from 1 species
ACAUGCAAGUCGAACGGCAGCACAGGGAGCUUGCUCCCGGGUGGCGAGUGGCGCACGGGUGAGUAAUACAUCGGAACGUGUCCUGUUNUGGGGGAUAACUGCUCGAAAGGGUGGCUAAUACCGCAUGAGACCUGAGGGUGAAAGCGGGGGAUCGCAAGACCUCGCGCAAUUGGAGCGGCCGAUGCCCGAUUAGCUAGUUGGUGAGGUAAAAGGCUCACCAAGGCGACGAUCGGUAGCUGGUCUGAGAGGACGACCAGCCACACUGGGACUGAGACACGGCCCAGACUCCUACGGGAGGCAGCAGUGGGGAAUAUUGCACAAUGGGGGAAACCCUGAUGCAGCGACGCCGCGUGGAGGAAGAAGGUCUUCGGAUUGUAAACUCCUGUUGUUGGGGAAGAUAAUGACGGUACCCAACAAGGAAGUGACGGCUAACUACGUG